rnacentral:rRNA from 1 species
AAAGAAACUAACAAGGAUUCCCCUAGUAACGGCGAGUGAAGAGGGAAGAGCUCAAAUUUUAAAUCUGCCUUGUUCCAAGGUCGAGUUGUAAUUUGAAGAAGCGUUUUCUUGGGCUCGCGGCCGGUAGAAGUUCUUUGGAACAGGACAUCAUAGAGGGUGACAAUCCCGUCCGUGACCGGUCGUGCGUUCAUAUACGAUACGCUUUCAAAGAGUCGAGUUGUUUGGGAUUGCAGCUCCAAACGGGUGGUAAACAUCACCUAAGGCUAAAUAUUGGCGAGAGACCGAUAGCGAACAAGUACCGUGAGGGAAAGAUGAAAAGAACUUUGAAAAGAGAGUUAAACAGUACGUGAAAUUGUUGAAAGGGAAACGAUUGAAGUCAGUCGUGCUGGCGCGAAAUCAACCCUCUCGUCUUGAGAUCACAUGGCGCGACGAGCCUCAAAACCGUCACGAAGCGUGAACUCUUGACGAAAAGGUGCACUUUCGUGUCCGCUGGUUAACAUCAAUUUCGAWCGUCAUAAAAAGGCUGGAGGGAUGUGGCUCCUUCGGGAGUGUUAUAACCUUUAGCGGAAUGUGGUGUUCGGGAUUGAGGAUUGCAACGAAUACCUUCAGGGCUGUUCCACCUGGCUUCUCAUUGGUAUCCUGGUGACGACAGCUUGCUGACGUCGUUAGGAUCAGCUUCUGAACAGGCUAGAGUGUGAGCAAAUUCGUUAAGGAUGUUAACGUAAUGGCUUUAAACGACC